CCUACGGGUGGCAGCAGUGAGGAAUAUUGGUCAAUGGGAGGAAUCCUGAACCAGCCAUGCCGCGUGCAGGACGACGGCUCUACGAGUUGUAAACUGCUUUUGUACCGGGGUAAAAUGCUCUACGAGUAGGGUUUUGAAAGUACGGUACGAAUAAGGAUCGGCUAACUCCGUGCCAGCAGCCGCGGUAAUACGGAGGAUCCGAGCGUUAUCCGGAUUCAUUGGGUUUAAAGGGUGCGUAGGUUGUUUUAUAAGUUAGCGGUGAAAUGCUUAGAUAUUGCGCAGAACUCCGAUUGCGAAGGCAGCAUACCGGCGGCGAUCUGACGCUGAGGCACGAAAGCGUGGGUAUCGAACAGGAUUAGAUACCCUUGUAGUC
rnacentral:rRNA from 1 species